AUAAUAAGUUAUAUAUAAAACAAGUUAACUUUGUUCUCUGAGAAGUUCCUUACCGAGGAACUUAUUAAGUUCC
rnacentral:ncRNA from 1 species